GAGAGAGAAGAGGAGAAUGGAGACGAAGAGGCGAGAAAUCACUUGUACUACUAAAAAAUGGAAAGUUUACGGACAAUCCACUGUUGCCUCUUCCUAAGAAGGCCAAGAAGAUCCUUGUAGCUGGGAGCCAUGCCGACAACUUGGGCUGUCAGUGUGGAGGAUGGACUAUCACUUGGCAAGGACGCAGUGGGAACAAUCUAACAAUUGGAACCACAAUCCUUGAUGCCAUCAAGGCCAUUGUUGACACCACCACCAAGGUUGUCUACUCUGGAAAAUUAUCGAAGUGGAAUCUAGAUUAAGCUACAAGACCUAACAAGUGUUCACGUAUGAGAAGAAAAACACAAGCAACAGUGCACUUUUCUAUUUUUCCUUUUUUAUUGAGGUUAACAAGAAAUGUUACUAACAUCUCUUUUCUUCGUUAGAAUCAUAAAGCAUAAAUUCGACUGUCUAACAAAUGUUUGUCCUUUACAUAAUCAAACAAAUAGAUCUGAUUUUUCUUUUCCCCCUUUAAUGGUAAAACACCAAAAAUACUGUGUUCAACAAGAAUGUCAAAUAUAGGAGAUAGUAGAUAUGAUACUACCAUAAAGUUUUCCUCAUAAUAAAAAAAGAAAGAUAGUACCAUAAACUAGAAAGCAUGAAAAAAAUAAUUAGCUGUCACUUCAAAUACUUACUAGAAGCCCUAAUUGUGAGAGAAACUUGAAUACGAAGAGCAUUUUAAGCCCUUUCAAUCUAAUUAUUUCAACACAAAUUUCUUAUCUUAUUUCAGACUAUAAACAUGCAGCGAAGGGGAAAAAUAUAUAAGACCGCCUGUUGCUUUCGCAUUCAAAUGAAAAAUAAAAAUGUAAGGACUCGCAGGCCUGAAUGAGGUGAAGGUUAGUAGGGUCUUCUCGUGGGUUGCUCAAAAAACAAAAAGAAAAAAGAAAAAAACUAAGGUGGUUCAUAGGAGGAGGCUUGCAGGUUUACUUUCCAUGUCAAUUGCCCAGUGAUUUGUCAUUUAACUAUAACUAGUCUAUGCACAAGGUUGACACAGUGGCAGUUCACUUAAUAUCCUGCAUGCACACAUAUGGCAGCAGAUAUCAGGAGGUAUUCCCAUAGACUGUAGGAGUGACAUCAUUGUUGAUUUCUGAACCAAUUCGGCCAAAGA